rnacentral:rRNA from 1 species
GACGUAGGGCGCGAGCGUGUCCGGAUUUAUUGGGCGUAAAGAGCUCGUAGGCGGCUCGUUGCGUCGGCUGUGAAAACCCGCAGCUCAACUGUGGGCUUGCAGCUGAUACGGGCGGGCUGGGAUUCGGUAGGGGAGACUGGAAUUCCUGGUGUAGCGGUGAAAUGCGCAGAUAUCAGGAGGAACACCGGUGGCGAAGGCGGGUCUCUGGGCCGAUAUCGACGUGGAGGAGCGAAAGCGUGGGGAGCGAACAGG